rnacentral:rRNA from 1 species
UCCGUAGGUGGAUCAAUCAGUCAGAGGUGAAAUCCUGCAGCUUAACUGUAGAACUGCCUUUGAUACUGUUGAUCUUGAGUCAUUAUGAAGUGGUUAGAAUGUGUAGUGUAGCGGUGAAAUGCAUAGAUAUUACAUAGAAUACCGAUUGCGAAGGCAGAUCACUAAUAAUGUACUGACACUGAGGGACGAAAGCGUGGGGAGCGAACAGGAUUAGAUACCCUGGUAGUCC